rnacentral:rRNA from 1 species
UUUCUGUGCAUGAAGGAGAAAUAUUAGGGAUUGUUGGAGAAUCGGGAAGUGGUAAAAGUGUCACAUCACUAUCCAUUAUGGGAUUAAUACCAUCACCACCAGGAAAAAUAACAGGUGGCGAAAUACUAUUGGAUGGUAAAAAUCUAGCGGCAUUAUCAGAUAAACAAAUGCAAAAAAUUCGUGGAAAAGAUGUAGCAAUGAUAUUCCAAGAGCCUAUGACCUCCUUAAAUCCCUUAUUUACAAUUGGAGAUCAGCUGAAAGAGGCAAUUUUAAUACAUCAACCAAAGUGGUCAAAAAAGGAAGCGUUUACAAGAGCGAUAGAAAUUAUGAAGCUUGUGGGUUUGCCACGUGCGGAAUCAUUGUUAAAAGAUUAUCCACACCAAUUAUCAGGAGGCAUGCGACAGCGUGUCAUGAUUGCGAUGGCACUUCUCUGCGAUCCAAAGGUUUUGAUAGCUGAUGAACCAACUACCGCUCUUGAUGUAACGAUUCAGGCACAAAUUUUGCAGUUAAUGAAAGACUUGAAUAAACGUUUAAAUACAGCUGUAUUAUUGAUUACCCAUGAUUUGGGCGUUGUAGCAGAAACAUGUGAGCGUGUCAUUGUUAUGUAUGCAGGACAAAUUGUUGAAGAGGCGCCGAUUCAGGAGAUAUUUGCUAAUCCUAAGCAUCCUUAUACGCAAGGGCUUAUUAAAUCUGUACCUGAUAUGCGUUAUAAAAAGGACAACCUUUAUUCGAUACCCGGAAGUGUACCAAAGCCAGGGAGUAUCAAGGUCGGCUGUCGUUUUGCAGCACGUUGCGAUUUUGCAAUGGAUCGUUGUCAACAGGAAACACCACCUUUAUAUGAAGCAGCAGAGCAACAUAAAUCAAGAUGUUUUUUACUAGAGAAGCAGGAGGUGGUGCAGCAUGUCGAAAGUUUUAUUGAAAGUUGAUGGCUUGAAAAAAUAUUUUCCUAUUCGGAAAGGCAUUCUUAAUACACAGGUUGGGGAUGUGAAGGCAGUGGAUGAUGUUUCUUUUGAGGUUUUUGAAGGAGAAACAUUAGGCAUUGUAGGAGAAUCGGGAUGUGGUAAAUCAACUACUGGGCGAUUGUUAAUGCGAUUAAUUGAGCCAACGGAAGGAAAUAUAGAAUUCGCAGGGAAAACGAUUUCAGAAUUAUCCAAUAAUGAAAUGCGUAAGGCACGAAGGGAUAUUCAAAUGAUUUUCCAGGAUCCCUAUGCUUCCUUAAAUCCAAGACACAAUAUUGGGAAGAUAUUAGAGGAGCCGCUUAUUGUUCAUGGUAUGGGUAAUGCUAAAGAACGUAAGCAGAAGGUUUUGGAGCUUCUAGAAACAGUAGGUCUAAAUGAAUAUCAUAUUAAGCGAUAUCCACAUCAGUUUAGUGGAGGUCAAAGGCAGCGUAUUGGUAUUGCUCGAGCCUUGAUGACCAAUCCUCGUUUAAUUAUUGCGGAUGAGCCAGUAUCUGCACUUGAUGUGUCGAUACAGGCACAAGUUUUAAAUUUAUUGCAAAAGCUGCAAAAGGAUUUAAAGCUGACUUAUAUUUUUAUUUCACAUGACUUAGG